GACCUCGGAUCAGGUAGGGAUACCCGUGAUUAAG
rnacentral:rRNA from 1 species